GAUGCACUUUGCGCUCAGCGGUGGCAGCUUGUGAGUUGCUCUUGAUAUCACCCACAUCUCCAGGACGCUGCUCGGUUCACCUCCCUGUAGCAGGGCGACUUAUUUUGGAGCCAAGCCUGAA
rnacentral:ribozyme from 1 species